AUUUUUUUUCAGAACCUCUUGUGGAAACUGGGUAUGUUUCUGAUAAAGAGACUAACCAACUGGAGAUCAGAGAGGUGGACAGAGGGAGCAGUUCUCCUCCUGCAGAAACAUCCACCAUUUACUCCUACGUCAAACCAAACGGAGUCGAAUCCACAGACGAGUACAGCUUAGUCACUGCAGCCACUGCUCAGAAGGAAACUAAAGAUGACCUGGAUAAUCUCAACUACUCAGAGGUGGAUUUCUCAAAAAGUGGCGCUGCCCCGCUCCACAGCGCCCCCUAUGGCUACACAGAUAACGUCCUCUACUCUGUUCCUCGGGUAGCACAGAGCUCCGACGUUAGCCAUGCAGAAGACACUUCACCUCCUCUUUACUCCACUGUUUCUUUACAUCCGCUGUAGCUUCAAAUCUGUCCUUUCCAAAUGUACUUUCUCAGUGACCGACAGGUGAACACAAAGCUGUGUAAUUACGCAUUUAAAAUGUAUCUGGUAAAUAACUUAAAGGUCUCCUAUCAU